rnacentral:rRNA from 1 species
UACAGACGGUCCCAGCGUUGUUCGGAUUCAUUGGGCGUAAAGGGCGCGUAGGCGGCUUGGCAAGUGGAUGGUGAAAUCCCUCGGCUUAACCGAGGAACUGCCGUCCAAACUGCUUUGCUUGAGACCGGGAGAGGUGAGUGGAAUUCCCAGUGUAGCGGUGAAAUGCGUAGAUAUUGGGAGGAACACCAGUGGCGAAGGCGGCUCACUGGACCGGUACUGACGCUGAUGCGCGAAAGCGUGGGGAGCAAACAGG